GGAAUCUUAGACAAUGGGGGCAACCCUGAUCUAGCCAUGCCGCGUGAUCGAUGAAGGCCUGAGGGUUGUAAAGAUCUUUCAGUUGGGAAGAUAAUGACGGUACCAACAGAAGAAGCCCCGGCUAACUCCGUGCCAGCAGCCGGGGUAAUACAGCGGGGGCGAGCGUUAUUCGGAAUUACUGGGCGUAAAGCGCACGUAGGCGGAUCAGAAAGUCAGAGGUGAAAUCCCAGGGCUCAACCUUGGAACUGCCUUUGAAACUUCUGGUCUUGAGGUCGAGAGAGGUGAGUGGAAUUCCGAGUGUAGAGGUGAAAUUCGUAGAUAUUCGGAGGAACACCAGUGGCGAAGGCGGCUCACUGGCUCGACACUGACGCUGAGGUGCGAAAGCGUGGGGAGCAA
rnacentral:rRNA from 1 species